rnacentral:ncRNA from 1 species
UUUUACUGAGUCGCAUUCAUUGGGAUUUGAGCGCAGAAUGUAUGAUAAGCUUCACAUAAAGCUAAAGAUCAGCAUGGUACCGAUAACAAAAAAGUACAGUGGAGA